GACGAACGCUGGCGGCGUGCUUAACACAUGCAAGUCGAACGGACAGGCCCUGCUUUUGUGGGGUGCUCGAGUGGCGAACGGGUGAGUAACACGUGAGUAACCUGCCCUUGACUUUGGGAUAACUUCAGGAAACUGGGGCUAAUACCGGAUAGGAGCUCCUGCUGCAUGGUGUGGGUUGGAAAGUUUCGGCGGUUGGGGAUGGACUCGCGGCUUAUCAGCUUGUUGGUGGGGUAGUGGCUUACCAAGGCUUUGACGGGUAGCCGGCCUGAGAGGGUGACCGGCCACAUUGGGACUGAGAUACGGCCCAGACUCGUACGGGAGGCAGCAGGGGGGAAUAUUGCAGAAUGGGCGGAAGCCUGAUGCAGCAAUGCCGCGUGCGGGAUGACGGGCUUCGGGGUAUAAACCGCUUUCGCCGGUGACGAAGAGUGAGUGACGGUAAUGGGUAAAGAAGCACCGGCUAACUACGUG
rnacentral:rRNA from 1 species